ACCCGCUGAAUUUAAGCAUAUAACUAAGCGGAGGAAAAGAAACUAACAAGGAUUCCCCCAGUAACGGCGAGUGAAGCGGGAAGAGCUCACGUUGUGAAUCUGGCCCUCGGGCCCGAACUGUACUCUGGAGAGGCGUGGCCAGCCGCUGUCCGCGGCCAAGUCUGAUUGGAAAUGAGCAUCAAGGAGGGUGACAAUCCCGUCCAUGCCGCGGUAUCGACCAGCGCGCGUCCGGCCCGCUUUCGACGAGUCGAGUUGCUUGGGAUUGCAGCUCAAAGAGGGUGGUAAACUCCAUCCAAAGCUAAACACGGGGGGGAGACCGAUAGCGAACAAGUACCGUGAGGGAAAGAUGCAAAGAACUUUGAAAAGAGAGUUAAAGAGUGCCUGAAAUUGCUGGAAGGGAAGCGAAGGAAAGAAGUGUGCGGUUGCCCGGGCGCCAACCCCUACCUGUCCGCAGGUGGGGGUAGGCCGCCCGGCCGCGGUCAGGGGCCGCGCCGGGCUCGGGGGAAGAGCCGUCGGGGAUCGGUAGGCGCGCCGCUUCGGCGGAGCGUUGUCAGGCCCCGGUGGUGCCAUUCAUUGCCCUGAGCCCGGCCCCCUUCUGGCGGUCGCGGCUUUUCUUCACCCCGUCUUA
rnacentral:rRNA from 1 species